GAUGAACGCUGGCGGCGUGCUUAACACAUGCAAGUCGAACGAGAAGUGAAGACGGAAACCUUCGGGCGGAAGGCUUUAUUUCGAGUGGCGGACGGGUGAGUAACGCGUGGGUAACCCGCCUCAUACAGGGGGAUAACAGUUGGAAACGACUGUUAAUACCGCAUAAGACCACAGCACCGCAUGGUGCGGGGGUAAAAACUCCGGUGGUAUGAGAUGGACCCGCGUUCGAUUAGCCAGUUGGCGGGGUAACGGCCCACCAAAGCGACGAUCGAUAGCCGAUCUGAGAGGAUGACCGGCCACAUUGGGACUGAGACACGGCCCAAACUCCUACGGGAGGCAGCAGUGGGGAAUAUUGCACAAUGGGGGAAACCCUGAUGCAGCGACGCCGCGUGAGUGAAGAAGUAUUUCGGUAUGUAAAGCUCUAUCAGCAGGGAAGAAAAUGACGGUACCUGAGUAAGAAGCCCCGGCUAACUACGUG
rnacentral:rRNA from 1 species